GCCAGAACUCCUUCCUCUCCGAAGACCUCGGGGGUGGGGCUCGCGCUUCCGCAGCGGGCCUAGAGCGAGAGGCAGGCGGCAGGGAGAGGCUGUCGAUGCUGAGGCACGAGAGAAUUUGCUCCUGCUCCUCCAGAGAAAAUGGCUGGGACAGGCUGUUGAGGAAUAAUUCUGCAGGGAAAAGUGGAAGAUGGCUGUGAAAGACUGGGAGGAGGCUGGCUAUGUUUUCAGGGGUUCUUCCUGCACAGUCGGUAGAAGCUGAGCUGCUGGGGAAGGGGCUGGAAGAAAGCCCACACCGCAGCUGCUGCAGUUCCUGCUCCGGGAAGGUUGCUUUCCGCUCUGGUGAGCUGGGGUUUCUGGCAGGGGCUGGCUCCAGGGAGGACAGAGGUAAGGGUUCCCACAUCCCAGACUCCUCCUUGCUCAAAGUCAAGGGAGGAGACUUGUUUGGCUCUGGGGGCUCUGGUGGGAGAGGAGGCUGGAGCUUAGGGGCUCUGCCUGUUGUCUCCUCAGCUGGCCGGGGCCCUGGGGCCCUUGG
rnacentral:lncRNA from 1 species